GCCUUCGUAGCUCAAUUGGAUAGAGCAUCAGUCUUCGGAACUGAGGGUUGGGGGUUCGAAUCCCUCCGAAGGUG
rnacentral:tRNA from 1 species